UCGGGUUAAGGGUAGGCUAAGAAAGUCGCAUAACAAUUAAUUAAUCAAACUAAUAUUCAAGAGGAGUAGAUUAGAGAGGGCGGAUUAGAUGAAAUUGUAAACCCCCAACAACAUCCAUUCAUNCAUUGUUUUCUUUUGUCAAUUGAAUCAACUUUAUUUUGCAUGUUAAUAUUUUUGUUCUCAAAUCCAAUUUAGAAAUAUUUAUUUUGAAG
rnacentral:lncRNA from 1 species